rnacentral:rRNA from 1 species
GACGAACCGUGCGAACGUUGUUCGGAUUCACUGGGCUUAAAGGGCGCGUAGGCGGGUUACCAAGUCCGGGGUGAAAGCCCCCAGCUCAACUGGGGAAGUGCCUCGGAUACUGGUGACCUCGAGGGGGGUAGGGGCGGGCGGAACUUCCGGUGGAGCGGUGAAAUGCGUAGAUAUCGGAAGGAACGCCGGUGGCGAAAGCGGCCCGCUGGACCCUCUCUGACGCUGAGGCGCGAAAGCCAGGGGAGCAAACGGG